GCAAAACCUUUGAACAAGAGAAGUAAGAAUAGUUGGGUGUAACCAGAGAGCUGGCCGGUGGUGUGAGGGCAGCAGCACAGAUUUUUCCGAAUGGGCUUGUGAGGGCAGCUUGAAACUGAGUGAUCGGGAGUAGACGCUGACGGGAACCCUGUCCGUUAUCAGUAGGGUGCAUAUGAUGGUAUGCAAAGUGAGUGGGCGAUUUUUGAAUCGUCAAUCAGGGUGGCAGCGCAGAAGUUUAAGCUUUUGUCCCUAUU
rnacentral:ncRNA from 1 species